UACUUCACCAAACGCCAGCCUCCCAUGUCCCACCUCAUCUCUCUGUUCGUACCAGACUCCUCCUCCAAUAACAUCCAGAUGCUGUCACAUGGCUCGGCUGACCUCAUCCUGGAAGCCUGCACUGACUUCUGGGAUGGAACUGAUAUCUACCCCCUGUCGGGCUCAGACAGGUGCCGUCACACUGAUCGCUCUUCUGUGGCUGUAAAUCUUGAGUCAGACACAAGUAUCAAAGUUUCAUAAGCACAGCACAG